ensembl:snRNA U6 U6 spliceosomal RNA
GUGCUUGCUUCGGCAGCACACAUACUAAAAUCGGAAUACUAGCAUGGCCCCUGCAUAAGAAUGACAUCCAAAUUCCUGAGCUACACGUUCAUUUG